CAGGGUCCAGGGGUUCGUCAUCCAGCACGACAUGUAGUAGUAAACUCUGUCGCCGCUGUACCUUUCGGGAGGUCCGCUGUUGUUACGGUUGGCGGUUGUGCGACACAAAUGGCUGCCGCCGAGAACCACACAGACAACGCCACCUCGAUAGAAAGGAUGGCCUCAGGCCUAGGCAGAAGAGAAGGAACCAAGCCACGCAUGGGAAACUAGAAGAGAGUAGGAA
rnacentral:lncRNA from 1 species